rnacentral:rRNA from 1 species
UACGAAGGGAGCUAGCGUUGUUCGGAAUCACUGGGCGUAAAGCGCACGUAGGCGGAUGUGUCAGUCAGGGGUGAAAUCCCGGAGCUCAACUUCGGAACUGCCUUUGAUACAGCACGUCUUGAGUCCGAUAGAGGUGGGUGGAAUUCCUAGUGUAGAGGUGAAAUGCGUAGAUAUCAGGAGGAACACCUGUGGCGAAAGCGGACUCACUGG